CCCUUAGAUGUUCUGGGCAGCACGCGCGCUACAAUGGUCUUCGCAAACGGAUGCAUUCUCGAAGGAGAAUGCCAAUCUUGGAAUCUAUGCCUUGGUCGGGACAGUUGCUUGCAAUUUUUCGACUCGAACCAGGAAUUCCUUGUAAUCGUGAUUCAUCUCAUCACGAUGAAUACGUCCCUGCCCUUUGUACACACCGCCCGUCGCUCCUACCGAUCGAAGAGUUAGGUGAAUUGUUUUGAUCGAUAAGAUUUGACUAUGGUCAACUCUCGUUGUGAAAUUCUGUGAAUCUGACUGUUUAGAGGAAGGAAAAGUCGUAACA
rnacentral:rRNA from 1 species